GUGCCAGCAGCCGCGGUAAUACAGAGGUCUCAAGCGUUGUUCGGAAUUACUGGGCGUAAAGGGUGCGCAGGCCGCGCGGGCAGUCAAAUGUGAAAUCCUGGGGCUCAACCUCAGAAUUGCGCUUGAUACUUCCGCGCUAGAACUUUGGAGAGGGAUCUGGAAUUCUCGGUGUAGCAGUGAAAUGCGUGGAUAUCGAGAAGAACACUCAGGGCGUAGGCAAGAUCCUGGACAAAUGUUGACGCUCAUGCACGAAGGCUAGGGUAGCGAACGGGAUUAGAUACCCCCGUAGUCC
rnacentral:rRNA from 1 species